AUCGACCUGCGAACGGAACGGAACUGUCAGUGCUAACAAGAGCCUCUUCGUUUCGUUGUGCUGUUUUUGGUGCUGAGUGUUUGUAAAAAGUUACUAGCUUUUGGUUUUGUUUUGGUGCUUGUGUACAAUAGAAUUACAGAGGCAUGGCCCGGGGGCAGCGGCGGUAUUCCCGAAAAAAUAGGAAAGCUGAAAUUAAGAAGAAAAAAAAUAUUAAAUAAAGAUAUAAGAAGAGAUGUAAGAAGGCAAGCUGACAAUGGGAUGGUAUGUCUGCAAAGCCAAUCAUAAAGAACCAAAUAAACUGCUUAUGGGCUUAUGGUUAUAUUAAACCGAUUGCAUGUAUCUAUAUACUCUAAGCAUGUAUCAUAUUUGUUUUCUCAGCCUCACACUUUAACUCAGGUAAGUUCUGAAGCACAUUUACUGAUUCUACACUAUGUUUGAAUUCAGUUUCAUGAAAUUGAUUAUUCAGUAGACUGUGAGGAUCUACACCUCUUGACAGACAGUCAGCUGGAUUUAAUUCAGUAGGAAUAUAGUUCCCUUUUUCAGGUACCUGCUCACAUUCCCAGAACAUAUCUAUUUUCCUAUUUAAAGACUCUGUUGAGACAGCCUCAGAUACUGACUUGCAAAAGUUACUUGGUAGUGAUGAACAUCCCUCGCUGUUCAAUGGUGCAGUGCCAGCAACAAUGUAGCCGAACUGAGUGUUGUGUAGAAACAGCUGACCUGGUAUCACUGGCAGUCUCUCACGCAGUAGGAUCUGAAACAUGAUGUCACACCCAAGUAAAAUAUCUAUAUUUCUAGGUUCGCUGAAGCAUCGGCAAGCUGAAUGUGAGAUGGUAUGUUGAUGUCCUGUACAUUGACACGGAAAUGAGGCAUUGAAGAUGUUAUGUUGGGGACAAUGCAUGAUAGAACAG